rnacentral:lncRNA from 1 species
CAGGCAUAGCGAUGCCAGGCGUGGCGACUUCGGUAGCUUCAGGUGUGGACUGGCUGAGUGGCGCUCCAGCAGCAGAGGCCCAGUCACAGCGCUUUGCAUCUGUGAUGACUCAAACAGACAACGCCGCACAGGGACGCCGACUGACAACUUUACCUACCUGCACACUGUUUCUGUCAGUGACAUCUGAUGGCUUGGCAUCGACCCAG